AUUGAACGCUGGCGGCAGGCCUAACACAUGCAAGUCGAGCGAGUGGCGGACGGGUGAGUAAUGUAUGGGGACUGCCCGAUAGAGGGGGAUAACUACUGGAAACGGUGGCUAAUACCGCAUACUAUCGGAUAACCCAUAUGGGAUUAGUUAUUAGGUGGGGUAAAGGCUCACCUAGGCGACGAUCUCUAGCUGGUCUGAGAGGAUGAUCAGACACACGUGGACUGAGACCGGGCCCAGAAUCCUACGGAGGCAGCAGUGGGGAAUAGUGCAAAAUGGGCGCAAGCCUGAUGCAGCCAUGCCGGGUGUAUGAAGAAGGCCUUCGGGUUGUAAAGUACGUUCAGUCGGGAGGCGUUACCGACAGAAGAAGCACCGGCUAACUCCGUGCCAGCAGCCGCGGUAAUAC
rnacentral:rRNA from 1 species